AAUAAAUACAGUUCUACAUUGUUCAUGUCUAAUGUUUGACCGUUUGUCUUAUUUAAAAAUUUUUUAUAAUUAGUAUUUUCGUAGGUAUUAGAUGAUAAAACAUGAAUAGUACUUUACGUGUGACUACUUUUUUUAUAAAUUUUCUAAAUAAGAUAGACGGUCAAAUGUUAUACACGGUAUCUACAACUGUACUUAUU
rfam:Oryza glumipatula chromosome 10, whole genome shotgun sequence.